rnacentral:rRNA from 1 species
AUUGAACGCUGGCGGCAGGCCUAACACAUGCAAGUCGAGCGAGCGGCGGAAGGGUGAGUAAUGUCUGGGAAACUGCCUGAUGGAGGGGGAUAACGACUGGAAACGGUAGCUAAUACCGCAUACCAUCAGAUGUGCCCAGAGGGGAUUAGCUAGUGGGUGGGGUAACGGCUCACCUAGGCGACGACCCCUAGCUGGUCUGAGAGGAUGACCAGCCACACGGGAACUGAGACACGGUCCAGACUCCUACGGGAGGCAGCAGAGGGGAAUAUUGCAAAAUGGGCGAAAGCCUGAUGCAGCAAGGCCGCGUGUGUGAAGAAGGCCUUCGGGUUGUAAAGCACUUUCAGCGGGGAGGCGUUACCCGCAGAGAAAGCACCGGCUAACUCCGUGCCAGCAGCCGCGGUAAUAC